rnacentral:rRNA from 1 species
UACGUAGGGUGCGAGCGUUGUCCGGAAUUACUGGGCGUAAAGAGCUCGUAGGUGGUUUGUCGCGUUGUUCGUGAAAACUCACAACUCAAUUGUGGGCGUGCGGGCGAUACGGGCAGACUGGAGUACUGCAGGGGGAGACUGGAAUUCCUGGUGUAGCGGUGGAAUGCGCAGAUAUCAGGAGGAACACCGGUGGCGAAGGCGGGUCUCUGGGCAGUAACUGACGCUGAGGAGCGAAAGCGUGGAGAGCGAACAGG